GUGCUUCCUUUGGCAGCAUGUACACGAAAACUGGAUGAAACAGAGAACACCACCAUGGCUCCUGCACGAGGGUGAUACGCAAAUCUGUGAAACGUUCUGUUUUUAA